rnacentral:lncRNA from 1 species
UUGGAACAAUGUGCUGUUACCUUAACAACAUCGUGUCUUCUACAGGGGCUCUACUGCAUUUCUGUUAAUUGCAUGGACAAUGCAGAAGCACAGUUUACUACAGCACUGAGGGUAAGGUUUUCCUUCUCACAAUAUUCACUGUGGUCGCUGGGCUUGUGAUUGUGUGGGGCACCAGAUAGUGAGGCUGAAAGUCUAAAGACUGUCUGUAUGAGUUGCAUUAGUUCAGAUUUUCCUCUGCUGAACAGAGUUCAGGUCAGGAGAAUUUGUAGCACAGGCACCAAAUCUGAGCAUUUUCUUUCUUUUUGUGUAUAUUAAAGAUGGGUUGAACUGAUUCUGGGUUAGGCACUGAAGUAUUUUGACUGUGCUGUUGGUGUGCUUUGUUUUAGCUCACUACACACCAGGAGCUGUGGGCAUUCAUUGUGACAAACUUGGCCAGUGUGUACAUCAGGGAAGGCAACCGGCACCAGGAGCUUUACAGCUUAUUGGAAAGGAUAAAUCCAGACCACAAUUUUCCUGUGAGCUCCCACUGCCUUCGAGCAGCAGCUUUCUAUAUCCGAGGUCUGUUCUCCUUCUUCCAAGGAAGAUACAACGAGGCAAAGUGAGUACAAAGCGCUGCACCUGGAAGGUGGGGAGAAGGAAAAACCAGAUCAGGAUUUAAACUCAACGUGAAAACUCAGAUGCUUUGCUUUCCAACCUCCUGGGUUCCCCGUGGGUUUAGCCAACCUUCUGUUUCGCUUGAGGCAAAGACUGUUUUACAUCUCUUUUGCUCUGAGUAAUACUUGUGCGGUGUUCUGC